AGUGGACUGUCUCUUUUUGUAAAUUCUGUACAUUGUAAAAUUUGUUGCCACGUACUGUCCAUACUCAUCUGUCAGCCCUAGUCUCUCCUUAUGAGUGCUAAAGGCAUCAUCCUGAACUGCUUCAGCCCCACAUGUAUCACUGACAAACUUCCUUCUCUUAGCCACUCUCAUUAUAUGGAGUUAAAGGGGUUGUCCUAGAUGGAACUCUCCCAUCUUCCUCUGUAUAUAACACUUAACAGAUCCCCCUCUCUAUCUUUCAACUGCUUCUGUCUUCUCUUGCCCACUGUGGUUUAGGCAGGGGGCUUUUUUCUUUCCAGCAGGGUAGCUGCUCAGUUGGCUUGUGGGAGGGAGUAUCUAGCUCAAAUGAAGUGAAAUGAACCUUCUUUUUUUUAUUUUUUUUGUGUGCUGUUUUCUACCUCAUCCUUCCACCCUCCUUUUCUGCACCAGACCCUCUGUUGUUCAUACUCCUGGCUUCCUUUCCAGUCCUCUCACUCUUCUUUUCUCCUUUUCAUUCUUAGUCCUAUUCCUCCUCUUGCUCUAUCAAUCUCUCCUUCUGUCCUCUUUCUUGCCAUUCUUGAAGGAAAAGGAUCCAAUCAGAUCCUUAACCAGCCUGGACAUUAUCAGCUGUCACAAUGUGAGUCAGCUGCAACCAAGAAUGACAGGCAAGAGGGAAUACACCAGUUGUAACUGGGCAGGAAGUGGUCAACAACAAGCCUGCUAGUGCACAUGGGGUUCCCUGAACCAUCAGCAGCUCAUGCUUUUAAAGUGUUUCCCCGUGACCUGGGACUUCUGUUCUGAGAUUUGAGGAUGGCUGUGACCUCCUGAGGGUUAAAUGUCCAGCAGCUAUCUGUAUUUACAUCACACUCAUUACUGUAAUACCUGAGAGAUGCACAUUUGACCAGGAGGUUGUUACCCACACAAAAUUCUGUAACUCACGCACCUUAGGGGUACCUUUAUUCAGUUCCUAGGGCUCAAGACAUAACCCUCUUAAUUUAGGCACCCACCCUUAGCCUAUUCCUGUAGCUCAGGCAUAACCUUAGGCUCUAUGGCAACCACCUUACCCUGUUCUUAGGGCUUAGGUGUGAUCCUGUUAAUUUAGGCACCCACUCGUACCCUUCUGUGGGCUCAAGGCAUAACCUUACACUCUGCGGGUUUGCAGAGUCUUUUACCAAUAGAAGAGCCUUACUCAGUAAUAUCCUACUUAACCUCUAUUUAUUAACAGUUAGUUCCCUACAAAAAUGAAUGCAUUCACUAUGCAUACAAUGCUCACCACUCCCAGUCUUCUUCAUGGCUAGUCAGGAUCAGGUCAUCUGGGGGACUCCAGCUAUUUUACAGUGUGGUUGGCAGGGUUUUGAGGUCUGGCAGCUCGAUCUCGGGGCUGUGUCCUGGAUUUGGUUCCCAAGAACUUCCUUUUGGACCCCAGUUUAUGUAGUGAAAUUUGAGUCCUGUUUAGCUUCUGGCAAAC